GCCAUCAUGGGGAAAAAGAAAAUGCUGCAGGCUUCCUAAAAGAUCUGGCAGCAGGUUGUCAGGCAGUGGGGGCGGGAUGUGCACAUCAGGAGAGGAGAGCUCUGUGGAGUUGAGUUGUGCUCAGUUGGAUACUGACGAGCGGCAAUGCUCAGAGGAGUGGCUGCCUCAGACACCGUGGGACCCACGAGUGUUUCCUUUGGGUGAGGACGAGGAAGACGCCCUGCUCUCUGAUAACCUAGAACAAGUCCCAUUAGGGUGGUUAGAGUGUAGCUCUGCCUCCUCCACAUCAAAGAACUCCAACUCCCAUCUCUCCCCAGCUCAGUCCUCUGGUGCUACACUCCCGUCUGGUGGACAAAGCCAGAGCUGCACACCCAAUGGCAGCUGAGAGAGCAGUGCCUUACUUUUACAUAACUCCACGUGCCUGGGACAAGGAGGAGAAAAUGUGCCAUGGGGACCUUAAAUGGGAUACUUAAUACAUUCCAGAACAGUGAUUUGAUGUUAAUUGUAUAAAACUUAAAAAAAAAAAAAAGUUUUGUAAGUAUAUUUUGUGAGUAUUGUAGCAUGUUACAAUAGUUUGAUUUGACUACUGUAGCUUCAGGUUUUAAUGUACAAGAGGUAACUGUAUGUAAAGAAAUAUCUACCAGCACAACUCCGCUGUAGUCUCAGGUUCGUAUACUGUUUGUAGUUGUCACUUACUAUUUAUUUCCACAGUUGUCUUAAAAAUGUCUGUAUAGGAAGACCAAAGUACAUACAUAUAUUUAUGUAACUUUUACUUGAUUUACAUGUGCUUCAUAAUUUCAUGUUUUUCUUUGUCUGACG